ACAACCACAUCCACAGAAUGUUACUGUUUUUGUAGAUAACUCAGAUAACUACAUAUUCUAAAUCAUUCCAUUCUAGGACUAUGCUGUAAAAGAGAAAAUUGCCUGGAUCUGGGAAACUUAAAUAACUAGUGAAUCAGAUGGGCCAUGCCGAUCCAUCUUAAGGUAGUCUGGGCUACUAAAAUAAUGAAAUUAAAAAGAGAGAAGAUCUGUCUGCGUCAGUGCAUUAGUGCAGAUGAAGGUGGCCGAACAGAUUUUCCCCAUGAAGGAGGUCCAGAAAGUGUACUUCACCAACAAAUUCAACUAUGUGGACAAGCUAGGAAAACAAGAGGUGUAAUUCAUGUCACAAUUCUCGCCCCCACACACACUCAAAGACACAGGACACAUCCAAGCACCCAAUACUGCCAUAAUUAAAUGCAUAGUGAAUGAUUAUGAAUUAGAUUUUUCAUUAUGUAUGUAUAGAGUUUAUAUAUAGAUUUAUACCACAAUACAUUAUUCAGUUAUAUAAUUGUAUAUAUUACUAUAUAAUAAAAAUAUAUUAUUGUAUAAUUACCAUCGUAAAAUAAAUUAUUAAGUGUAAUAUAAUUAUUUUAUUAUAUAACAAAUACAAUCUAUUACUAUUAUUUU